GCCCCGAUAGCCCAAUUGGCAGAGGCACCGGAUUCAAGUCCCGGCCAGUGUGGGUUCGACUCCCACUCGGGGCA
rnacentral:tRNA from 1 species